AACGUAGGAGACGAACGUUAUCCGGAGUUACUGGGCGUAAAGGGCGUGUAGGCGGUUUGUUAAGUCUGGCGUGAAAGCUCUCGGCUAAACCGGGAGAGGUCGUUUGGAUACUGGCGAACUAGAGGAUGGUAGAGGCGUGUGGAAUUCCGGGUGUAGUGGUGAAAUGCGUAGAGAUCCGGAGGAACACCAGUGGCGAAGGCGACACGCUGGGCCAUACCUGACGCUAAAGCGCGACAGCAUGGGGGAGCGAACAGG
rnacentral:rRNA from 1 species